UACGUAGGGUGCGAGCGUUGUCCGGAAUUACUGGGCGUAAAGGGCUCGUAGGUGGCCAACUAAGUCAGACGUGAAAUCCCUCAGCUUAACUGGGGAACUGCGUCUGAUACUGGAUGGCUUGAGUUUGGGAGAGGGAUGCGGAAUUCCAGGUGUAGCGGUGAAAUGCGUAGAUAUCAGGAGGAACACCGGUGGCGAAGGCGGCCACCUGGACGAUUACUGACGCUGAGACGCGAAAGCGUGGGGAGCAAACAGG
rnacentral:rRNA from 1 species